UACGUAGGGGGCAAGCGUUGUCCGGAAUUAUUGGGCGUAAAGAGCGUGUAGGCGGUCCGGUAAGUCAGCUGUGAAAGUCAAGGGCUCAACCCUUGAAAGCCGGUUGAUACUGUCGGGCUAGAGUCCGGAAGAGGCGAGUGGAAUUCCCGGUGUAGCGGUGAAAUGCGCAGAUAUCGGGAGGAACACCAAUGGCGAAGGCAGCUCGCUGGGACGGUACUGACGCUGAGGCACGAAAGCGUGGGUAGCAAACCGG
rnacentral:rRNA from 1 species